AGUGAACGCUGGCGGCAUGCCUAAUACAUGCAAGUCGAACGACCGCACAGUAAGAGUUCGCCUCUAAGGGUGGCGAGUGGCGGAUGGGUGAGACAUACAUAACAUUCUACUUAUACGUGGGGGACAACGUAGGGCAACUUACGCUAAUACAGCAUAUAUUCUACGGGAGAAAUCAAUAGUUCAUCGCACUUUUCCUGUCACUAUGAGACGAUGUCGCAUUAGCUAGUUGGCUAGGUAAAGGCCCACCAAGGCAACGAUACGUAGCUGAUCUGAGAGGAUGAUCGGCCACACUGGAACUGAGACACGGUCCAGACUCCUACGGGAGGCAGCAGUAGGGAAUAUUCCACAAUGGGCGAAAGCCUGACCGAGCAACACCGCGUGAGUGAAGAAGGUCUUCGGAUUGUAAAACUCUUUUGUUGGGGAAGAACAAAAGCGGAAUUAAACCCCGCUGUUUUGACGGUACCCAAUGAGAAAGCAACGGCUAACUUCGUG
rnacentral:rRNA from 1 species